rnacentral:rRNA from 1 species
ACGGAGGUUCCUAGCGUUGUUCGGAUUUACUGGGCGUAAAGGGAGCGCAGGCGGAUAGGUAAGUGAAAAGUGGAAAUUCGGGGCUCAACCUCGGACGUGCUUUUCAUACUGCCUGACUUGAGUUCGUUUGAGGAAGCUGGAAUUCAGGGUGUAGCGGUGAAAUGCUUAGAUAUCCCGCGGAACGCCGGUGGUGAAGGCAGUCUUCGAACUUGUUACUGACGCUGAUGCUCGAAAGCGUGGGGAGCGAACGG